rnacentral:lncRNA from 1 species
AUGGAAUGAAACCAAACAUAGCAUGAAUGUUCCUUAUGAGGUGCUGAACAAGUGUUAUUACUUUGUAGCCGAUCCAUCAUCCAAGAUGGCCACCAGCGGGGGACUUAGUUUAACAUAGGACCUUAUGGGAAAUACUUACAAAUGUCUUCUUUUAGAGAACCACUAAAUGGAAUGAAACCAAACAUAGCAUGACUGUUCCUUAUGAGAUGCUGACAAGGUGUGGUAACUUUGUAGCUGAUUCAUCAUCCAAGAUGGCCGCCAACAGGGGACUUAAUUUAACAUAGGGAAAUCUUCUUUUAGAGAACCACAGAAUGGAAUGCAAUAUUAAACCAAAUUUGGUCUCAAUCAUUAUUUAAGUACCUGUUAUGAUUAAUAUCUUUUUUUCAAAAACCCAAGUAGAGUCAGGUGAGCGACACAGGCUCUUGAGAGCCUCUAGUUUUG